rnacentral:lncRNA from 1 species
AUGAGUUAAAAAAGUUAUUUCAAUUUUAAUGCAAAAAAAUGCAUUUUUUUCACCAAAGGGAGAUAAUUUGGAGCUUUUUCAAUGAUAUAAACAUUUUAAAAGUCAUCUGGGGCCAAAACGAAUUGAUUUUUUUGGUUGAUUUAUGUACCUUAUCAAGAAGUUACAACUAAUGGUGUAAUAAAUAAUAUUUGUGAUGAAAAAAAACAUGUUCCAAUUUUUGCUGAAUUUUUUGUACCCUCGAGCCUCCUUAAGCAUUAAAAAAUAACAUUCCUCAACUAGGAAACAAAAAAUCUAAAAUUCAUAAAAAUUGAAAGGGAGCUCACAUCAAUAAAUAUAAACAAUUAACCACAGUUUCAUGCAAAUUGGCGAAAGCCUUUUCCAGUUAUUGUCUGAAAACUGGAAAAUACCAUUUUUUC